rnacentral:lncRNA from 1 species
ACCGUAUCCAUUUUGUGAGUCAAAUAAUCUGAAGCCAUUUUAAUUGUUAUUGUAAUUAAAGAAAAUAUGAAUAAAAAUGAAAUUCUAAUUAAUAAGAACCCUAUAAAGCCAUAAUCUUUUCAUAAAUCAUUAAAUGGUGCACUAUGCACAUAGGAAGAAAAUGGAUCGAUCAAGAGGUUAAAAGAUAGGACAAUUCCAAUAAUAAUUUCAUUUACUACAAGUCCAUUUUCAUUAAAUGUUUUUCUAAUUAAAGCUCCCUAUGAACAAGUAACUCUUAGGUUUCGUGCCAAUAUUGACCCGAUAUAGAAAGAAAUAGAGUUAGGUCAAUUAAAUAAAAAAAUGGUUGAACAUCAGUCUUGAGGGUCUCCACCGCCCCGUCCUUAGAGCUUUAUGAGGGAGGUAAAUCGCAAGAUGUGCCCCCAACAAGUCAGGGAACAAGAGCUGCAUGUACAUUGCGCCUAUAAGAAGUCAAAUUUCAUAUCUCAGAAAUCAAACCCCCACACUGCGGCUGCCAAUAAGACGUGAGAUAACAUCACUCCUAUCCUUUGCACCACUGGGCUAUGUCCUCGAGAGCAGGUCAAGUAAAUAGAUUGCAUGAGAAGGUGUUAUAACAACUUUAACAUUUAUUGUACUUUAAUGCUUCAUGGAUAGAAAUGAAUAAAUAAAAAUAUUGUUAUGACUAAUAACUUUUUUCUAAUGAGGUUUCAACACAUGUCUCCAUGCACGGCUAGAGGUCAACCAAUCAAUUGAGGUAUUUCCAUUAAAAAAAAUGUAUGCUUUGAAUGAUUUUACUAAUCCGUAAACAUAUCAAGAAAUCGAAAGGAAAACAAAUUUGGGUGUGAAACUUGUAUAAAAAAUGCAAUAGAUAUGUAUAAAAUGAUAUUACCUCUUACCGUCAUUGAAUUUCUAGCUAAUUUACGUACACGACGUUGAAAUGGAAUUCAAACUUUUCUUUUAGCCAAGCAAAAUAAGCAAAUUAUAGUAUGGAAAUAUAACUUAUUAGAUUUUAAAGAUAAUAAUUUUUUCUCACAAAAAAGCUUGGGGCAAUCGAAACAUAGAGUUCAAAAGUACUCGAAUAACUUGUACUUUAAUUGGUUAUUAAAAAAAUAAAUCUACGCACAAUAUAUGUGUAAAAGACAUUUGUAAAAGAAUUUAAGGGUGGCCCCCCACACACGUCGGCAAACAACAACAUCAACAAAUUUCCUCAAGCAUGAUCAACACAUUACCUUAACGUAUUUGGAUCAUCCCUAGCUCUUUAUAUAUAUAUAAACAAAGAUUUUACAGAUAUUUAUUUCAUAAAGAUCAAUUCUUCUAAUCACUAUUGCGUAAGUUCUGCAAAUAUAAAUGUAGAAUUUCCUCUUCUUCUAUCUUGACUCCAAAUUAGAAAAAUAAGAAAGAAAAUUCAUUUAGCCUUGCAAUUUCACCAUACACGAAAUUCCAUAAAUAAAUCAUUCAAUACAUCUGACGCAUAAGAAUUUAAUAUUAAGAAAGCAAUUGGAUUCUGUUUUGUUGGUUUUUUUUUCCCCAUCUCCCAACUUAUGCAUUAAUUUAUUUUAAAUAAGAAAAUUAUAUGUCCAAAUACAAAACUGUAAUAAACGAAUAACUCUUCAAUGUAAGUUCAUGCUUUCAUAAGUAAACUUACAUUCUAAUUUAAUUUUUUUUUUUAUUUUCCUUGUUAAAGAAAUGGUUCAAAUUUUUUACACAACAAUUUGAAGCAAGCCGUGUGAUGGUAGAAAUUACAGGAGAUAAUAAAUAGAGCUCAAAAUUUAUUUCAGUUUCUUUUUCAAGCAAAAAAAAAAUUCAUAUUUAUUCUUUCUUCAAAGUUUGAAUCUAAUAAUGAAUUAGGAGUCCUUUUCCAUUUUAAGUGUUGCUUAUAUUUUUCAAUCAAAACUAAUUGUUUAAUUAAGACUUUAGUUAAGUUACUAUUUUCAGACACAUUAGGGUACAAAUUUUCACUCUUUUUUGUGACAUCAUCUUUAGACUCGUGGAUCCAUUCUCAAAAAUAAAAAAUUAAUUCAAACAUCAAAAGACUGAAUUCACUCACAAAUUAAUAAGAACAGUUUAUAAUCAUAAUCUUUUCAUAAACCAUUGAAUAGUGCACUGUGCACAAAGGAAGAGAAUGGAUCAAUCAAGAGGCAACAGAUAUUAUGUCAAGUUCUACUAAUAAUUUCAAUUUAGUACUGGUCCAUUUCUAUUAAACGUAUUUCCAAUUAUAGCUCCUAUUAAGAAGUCACUUUUACGGUAUCAUGCCAAUCCUUUCUCUCUCUCUCUCUUUUUUUUUUUUUUGAUAUCCAAGUAUCCCAGUUUACACCAGACUAAAUCCUGGACUCCCAAGACCCUUGUCCCUAGAACCUUGAAGGGAGUAAAUCGCGGGUUAUGCCUCAAUCGUGGACCCCCAAUCUUGACACUACAUAGGGAUGUUAACGAACUGAGCUGAAUCCUUUUUCAAGCUCGAGCCGAGCAAAAGCUCGACCAAGAAAAGAAGGCUCGACUCUAGCCUUAGUGAGCCAGCCCAGUUAGAUUUUUUU